AUAAAUUAAUUGAAUAUAAAGUUUCAACAAAAAAGCAACAGUCAAAUAACUAACAACUUGUUCUACUACUACAAUACAUACGAUUAUUAUCCGGUCCACUACGAGUUUAGCCGUGCAUAAAACUACACGGAACUACACGACCAUAAUGCAGACUAUACACAUGAAUACACAAAAACAUAAGCAUCUUGAAUUUGGCUCUUGCUCAAUCCCUCUGUUGUUCAACCUCCUUGCAAUUCAAUGUUAGAGACUCCAUUUGCACUUUAGCAUCCUUCAAUUUCUAUUUUAAUUUAUCCUUUUCUUCUUCAAGUUCUUUUACUUACACUCUUAGUCGAUCACUCAUUAAACACAAUAUUGUCCGACUUGGUAGGUGCUCCCUCUCUGAUGGAUCUGUAUAUGGACUAUAUCAAACCAUCUAAAUUAAUUACAUCCACCAUUUUCCUAACAAUAAAUGCAUUCACAUUACUGAUUAAUAAGAAACAAAAAGUAAAAAUUUCAUAAUCUAUGAAACUAGUUACUCACUCUUGAAAAUUUUACAACCACAAAAUCGGCAACCUAGGUUUGUUGGGGUGGUCGAAGUCUUCAACCUAGCAUAAACACCGCUAGAAUAUAAAUCGAGGUCCUCUUCGUACACUGAAUUUUUGCAAAUUUUUUGAUAUUUGAAUAUUUUUCAAAUGGGGGAGGAGAAAACGAGAUAGAGAAGAUUAAGAUAUGAGAGAGAUACAAGAAAAUGAAACAUGAUGUACAGAGAAAAGAAAGAAGAGUAACGAAGAAUGAAAGAAAAAGAUGAAAAAAGAGACAAAUGAGUCUCAGAUAGAGAACUUAGAGUUCCAAUUUCAUUUUGGAAUGGAUAAAUCCAUUGGGCUAGUUGACAUUAACAAUGUUGGGUGAGUCAACAGUCAGCAAAAUUUUAUCCCUUCACACGCCCAAGAGAGGU
rnacentral:lncRNA from 1 species